AAGAAGCAGCAAAAAUAAUUGAAGAUUAUGAAGAAGAGUACGUCUGCCCAGGUGAAUAUUACGGAUGCUGCGACAAGCAUAUCAUCGAGUUCGAGAUUGAUCAUUAAAAUAAGCAUCCAUUAUUAAUGUAUAAUUAUGUAAAAUAUGUGUGCUUUUAAUCAAAUAAAGCGAUGAUGUAAUCGCUAUGUAAGCAUGAUGCAAGCGAUGAUGUAAUCGCUAUGUAAGCAUGAUGCAAGCAAUGAGGUAAGCGCUUAUGUCAGCGCCUUAUCCUCAUCUAUAAAUAUGUGUGUACCCCCUUGUGAAAUAUCAUCAAAUAAUUUCAUAAAAAACCUCUCUCUAAAUUUCUCUCUCUAAUGUCUCUCUAAAGUUCUCUAGUUUUCUAGACCUUAUCUCAUCUUUGAUAAGCUCUGAUUCUUAUCUUCCAUACACAAGAUGCGAUCCAAUUCUUAGCUGUAAUUCUCCUUGAUCGGUUUCCGUUAAUACGACUCUGUCAACACGACUUUCGGAAGAGGUGAUUAUCCUAACAGUGGUUGAGCUUGAUCGAAAAGGCCGAGGUAGUGCCUGAAUCGCUCCCUAUACCUGGAAAAUCAUCGAACUCGUUUGAUCAAUACGACUUUGUCAACACGACGUGAUCGGUUAAAGACAGCUAUCCUGGAAAAGAAGAUUGAAGGUCGAAGGUCGAAGUUCGGUGAAAGGAAUAAAUGAGAAAAGCUACAUUUCUUUUUUUUUUGUUAAAGGAGAAAAGCUACAUUUCUCAAAACAAAUACAAAUUGAUCUGAAAAAGCUGAUUAGUAUAUUUUAGUUUAUUCUUUUAAAUCCUUCAGAUUAAGUAAAAAGUAUUAAACCAAUACAAAAAUUGAAAAAUAGCUUUAAUU